UGUACCAUUCCUGUGAGCUGAAUGUCCACCAUUCAGCUUUUCCUCUGGGCAGUGACUGCAAUUAGUGUUUGGAAUGUGCUUGGCCUCCUGGACUGCCUCCUCCAGAUGAGCUCCCACCAACAGAAUUCCAGUUCGUGUCCUCCGUGUUAUGACCUAAAACACAGCAGUAACAUGGAGCAAGUCCUGUUGGAAAGUAAAAUCCGUAAAAUCCAUGAUAUGUCCCAGGUCUGCAUUGGUGAAACAUCACUUAACCCAUUUUCAACUUGUUCAUUAGGAGCACCCACAAAAGGAG